GAUGAACGCUGGCGGCGUGCCUAAUACAUGCAAGUCGAGCGAACAGAUCAUGAGCUUGCUCGUUUGUCGUUAGCGGCACACGUGUGUGUAACACGUGGAUAACCUACCUGUAAUACUGGGAACUUUUCGGGACACCGGCUCUAAUACCAGAGAAGAUAUUGAUCCACGUUGGUCGAUGGUAAGAUACGGCUUUGCUGUCUCUUAUAGAUGGAUCCGGGCCGCUUUAGCUGGUAGGGGAGGUACCGGCCUACCACGGCAACGAGGCGUAGCCGACCUGAGAGGGUGAUCGGCCACACGGGAACUGGGACACGGUCCAGACUCCUACGGGAGGGAGCAGUAUGGUACCGUCCGCAACGGGCGAAAACCUGACGGAGCAACGCCGCGUGAGUGAUGAAGGUCUUCGGAUCGUAAAGCUCUGUUAUUAGGUAAGAACAAAUGUGUAAGUAACUGUGCCCGUCUUGACGGUACCUAAUCAGAAAGCCACGGCUAACUACGUG
rnacentral:rRNA from 1 species